rnacentral:rRNA from 1 species
CAGAGGAUAAACCGCCGUCCUUGUGUUACCUUCCGGCACACGUUAAAGAUCGCUCUGCGUUGUGAGUAUAAACCGUUGUAAUGAAAUCUACAACCGGUAGCAUUGGAUCCCUUGGCAUGUCAUUCGAUGAAGACCGUUGCAAAUUGCGAUAAAGUGAUGUGAUGCGCAAGUCCACCACUUAUACGUGAAUCAUCGAGUUGUUGAACGCACUGCACCGCGCUCUAAACCAGCCCGGUAUGCCCCUUUGAGCGUCAUUUUUGUUCUUCGGGAGCCUUACGCACUUCGGUGNNCUGGCCCGAGUUCGGAGUCCUCGGUUUCUUGGAACCGUGUUCUCUUAGAUCCAGCACGCUGACCAUCCCGGCGGGUCCUCUAAGCUUGAGUGCAGAGGCCUUCUAGUGGGUGAAGCGUCCGACAGCGGCUUGAGCGCUGUCACCAAGUCCCUCGUCUCUCGACUUGGGUACUACAAAUCAUGACCUCAUUGGGGUAGGACAACCCGCUAGACUUAAGCAUAUUAAUCAGCGGAGGAAAAGAAACUAACAA